rnacentral:lncRNA from 1 species
GGGCAUUCGAUAUUGACAGAAUUUAGGAAGUAUGGUCCUUAGGUUAGCUUUGUUAAAAUCCCCAGCUACAAUAAAUGCAGCCUCAGGAUGUAUGGUUUCCAGUUUACAUAGAGUCCAGUGAAGUUCUUUCAGGGCCGACGAGGUAUCUGCAUGGGGGGGAUAUACACAGCUGCGACUAUAAUUAAAGAAGAUUCUCUUGGAAGAUAAUGCGGUCAGCUUUUGAUUGUAAGGAAUUCUAUGUCGGGUGAACAAAAGGACUUGAGUUCCUGUAUGUUGUUGUGAUUACACCAUGAGUCGUUAAUCAUAAGGCAUACACCCCCGCCCUUCUUCUUACCAGAGAGAUGUUUGUUUCUGUCGGGGCGCUGCGUGAAGAAACCAGGUGGCUGUACCGACCCUGAUAACGUAUCCCGAGUGAGCCAUGUUUCCGAGAAACAGAGAAUGUUACAAUCUCUGAUGUCUCUCUGGAAAGCAACUCGUGCCAUAAUUUAGUCUACCUUGUUAUCUUGAGAUUGGACAUUGGCUAGUAAUAUGCUCGGAAGCAGUGGAUGGUGUGCUCGCCUUCUGAGUCUAACCAGUAGGCCGCUCCAUCUGCCUCUUCUGCGGCGACCGCGUUGUUUUGGAUCGGCCUCUGGAAUAAGAUCACAUGUCCAGGGUGAAGGUUCCGAACAAAGGAUCCGCUUCAGGAAAGACGUAUUCGUGGUCGUAUUGAUGCGAGGCGACCAUCUCUGUCGGCGCCAUCUUGUCAUCAACUCCAAGUAGCUAUAUAUCUCCGCAGAGCAAAAAGAGGGAAGCAUUGUAGCCUAUGUAACAUUGCUGUCGUUAUGUGCCAUCUUGAAGUAUGCCUAUAUACCACUGUUCCUUCAAAAUCUAACCAUCACACGUACAGGUUCAACAGCCUAACCACGCAAACUUCCAAAACAGAAAAAAAAAUCUGAACAUGCGUCCCUCGGAACCUCUGAAUUCUCCAUAUGUCAGAUUUGGAAUGCCAUAGAUCUGUGACGUGACAAAGGGCCUGGAGAACAGCGAGAGAAAAGGACGCUACCUGAUACUGCACAUCUCUGUAAGAGGGGCCUUCCUCUGAGAGAGCACCAUGCUUUAUGACUUCAGGGCCUGACCUCAGAGGCCUGAGCAGAGAAAGAGAGAGCCAUUAAAAAAACGGAUAUUUCUCUGUCCUGCUGACAUGGGGGAUCCCGUCAACGGAGGCCUGCGGCAACACAGAAGCCCUGUGUAUGGAUCAUGUCCACGUUCUUAUUUCAGACAGG